rnacentral:sRNA from 1 species
UAAUCCGCUUUUUGUUUUGAACAGACCUGAGGCCUGCAAGAUAUGUUCCGAGUUCCCUUAUUACUUCGACAAGUGUAACUCCACAGAGCUCACGCUCGCCUUCCAGAAAUGCUUUUGGAUUCUUGACACGCCCAGAUUCAUCAAGUGUAUUUCCCCAGACUAUCCUGACACUACUUCCUACACACACUUAUCUUUCUUUGCUGCGUGUAUUGAUCACUUUUGUGAUGACUACCAGCGAUGUGAUGACUUGAGAGGAAACGCUUGCCACUGGCCACAACUAGACCACAUCAUAUAUGAGACCUGUCAGUCAUACUAACUGCCACUGUCACACUUCUGGUACUCACUGAUGUUAAAAACAAACAAUGAAACAGAAACCAAAGCGAGUGCAAUAGUUAAUCUAAAAUAUUUGUUCGUUAUCAGAAAUAAAGCCAUGUUUUUGUUAACGUUAUAUCAAAAUGUUCACAAUAAUAAAAGAUACGAAGAUCUGAAUAAAUGGGUUUUGAAAACUUU